rnacentral:lncRNA from 1 species
CCCAAAAUCGCCCAAAUUCACCCCAAAACCGAACUUAAAAACUCAAAAAUCAGCAAAAAUCGCCCGAAUUUGACCCAAAAUCGCCCGAAUUCGACCCAAAUUCUCCCACCUGGAUCCGGCUCCUCUCACCUGAGGCUCGCCCGAGGGAGGGGGCGUGGCCGCCGUGACGUCACCGAUGACGUCACUCCCAGACGGGGCGUGGCCUCGUCGAAAAACCGCAAUUUCCUGGAGUUGUUUUUGAGGUUUUUUUGGGGAAAUUUCGGGGUUUUUUGGGGUUGGUUUUGAGGGGCGUGGCUUGUUAUGCUAAUUAAGGGUGGUUUCCUGCCAAAAUAAGCCACGCCCACCCCGUUUUUCCCGCCUUUUUUUUUCUGAGGGGAUUGUCGGCCAUUUUGAAUCGGAAUUUUUUAAUGUCGAAUUUUGGAGUUUUUAAUUAAGAUUUUAAUUAAGGUUUUAAUCAAGAUUGUAAUUCAGAGGCGUGGUCUCCUCUAUGCAAAUUAGGUUGAAGCCCCUCCCACUCCCUGGGAAUUUUCCCGCCGUUUUUUUGAGGGGAUUUUCGGCCAUUUUGAAUCGGAUUUUUUUGGGUCAAAUUUGGGAGUUUUUAAUGAAGAUUUUAAUCAGGAGGCGUGGCCUCCUUUAUGCUAAUUAACCCUCUCUCCCAUCGAGGUUUUCCCGCCUUUUCUCUGUGGGGGUUGUCGGCCAUCUUGGUCGGCCAUCUUGGAUCGGUUUUCGGCCAUCUUGGAUCGGAUUUUUGGGAGUUUUUUUGGGGUGAAUUUGGGCGUUUUUUGGUGUGGGGGGUUUGCCGCCAUCUUGGAUCAAAUUUCCGCCAUCUUGGAUCAAAUUUCGGCCAUCUUGGAUCUGAUUUUUGGUGGUUUUUGGGUCAAAUCUGGGAUUUUUUUCCCCUGUGUGUGGGCGUGGCCUCCCUUAUGCUAAUUACCCCCCCUCUCCCCUCAGAGCCCGCCCUCUCCCCUGGCAUUUUCCCGCCAUUUUCCUGUAGAGCUGUCGGCCAUCUUGGUCGGCCAUCUUGGUCAGCCAUCUUGGUCGGCCAUCUUGGAUUGAUAUUCGGCCAUCUUGGAUUGAUUUUCGGCCAUCUUGGAUCAAAUUUCGGCCAUCUUGGAUUGAUUUUCAGCCAUCUUGGAUCAAAUUUCGGCCAUCUUGGAUCAAAUUUUGGCCAUCUUGGAUCGAUUUUCGGCCAUCUUGAAUCAGAUUUUUGGGGUUUUUCCGGCGUUUUUUGGGUGUUUUCCACCGGGAUUUUUUCUCCCAGAUGUGGGCGUGGCCUCCCCCAUGCUAAUUACCCCCCUCUCCCCUCAGAGCCCGCCCGCUCCCCCGAGCUUUUCCCGCUCUACACCUGCCAGGCCUGCGAGGAUCAGGUGACCUUCGGCUGCCUGGCUUCCGGUUUUUUCCCCUCGCCGGCCGAGAUCACGUGGGAGGGCGUGGCCGAGGCCGAGGGAGGGAACUUCCUGUGCAGGGCGGAGCAUCGGGGGAGCAGCGUCAGCAUCGACAUCACAGGUGAGCUCACCUGGAGAUUUGGGGUGAAAAUCGGGGAUUUUGGGUUAAAAUUGGGGAUUUUGGGGGGAAAAUUGGGGAUUUUGGAGGAAAUUUUGGGGUGUUUGGGGUGGAUUUUGGGGUGACCUGAGCCCCCCAGCCCUGGAGAAGGCGGAGAGCGAGGCCAUGAGGG